AUUCCACGAUGGGGACACUUCUUUAACAACUCCUUAAAUCGAUCCCAUGCAUUAUAUAAAGACUCCCAAGUCAUUUUGGUGGAAAUUAUUUAUUUCACCUCUCAAUUU